UACGUAGGGGGCAAGCGUUGUCCGGAAUCAUUGGGCGUAAAGAGCGUGUAGGCGGCCAGAUAAGUCCGCUGUGAAAUCUCGAGGCUCAACUCUGGACAGGCGGUGGAAACUACCAAGCUCGAGUACGGUAGGGGCAGAGGGAAUUUCCGGUGGAGCGGUGAAAUGCGUAGAGAUCGGAAAGAACACCAACGGCGAAAGCACUCUGCUGGGCCGACACUGACACUGAGAGACGAAAGCUAGGGGAGCGAAUGGG
rnacentral:rRNA from 1 species